ACAUUUUACUCGGAAUAAAGAAUAUCAAAUUCGAAAACGGUCGGAAAUUGCUCUCGAUUUACGUUUGAAAUCGACUUGGAAACGAAUCCUAUAAAAAAUCCAAAUUUUAUUUUAUUUUAUUUUAUUAAUGUCUAAAAACAAUCCCAAACAUCGUUGGCGAUGGUUUUCCACCUCAACUUGUUAGCCCCACUGAUAGGUCAGGCAACCAUUAUAAAUAAUGUGUGUGUAUAAUUUUAGACAAUUUAUUGAUUUUCCUGUUUCACCUGGACACGAAAUGUUGUUGAUGAUGAUGAAAUUAAGAGGGGCCCUAAACUAGCAAGUUGAAUGAACUUUCCGUCUUUCGUCUAGCAUGCAGGUUUAUUUCAUCAUCUGUCAAUAGGAGAAAAACUGUAAUGUACAAGAAAAUUUGAAGAAGCUUAAACAAUAAUUUACAUAUUUACACAAUAUUAUAAAAAUAGUAAAAAUUCCAAUUAUAUUGCUCUAUUUAAAUCUCAAAAGAUUUCCAUUUUGUCCUCCUAAAGGACCAUGUCCGAAAUGCAGAGCAUCUGGUAUGGAAUCGGAACGAGUGCGUGCAUCCAAUACGGAAGCAACUCGUUGCUGACCGCUGAUGUAUCCUAAGGAGCCGGAACCCAAAUAGACAUUACCAUUGGGUAGACGAAUAUAACCCAAACCACCCGAUCCCAGGGCGAUGGCAUCAGCUUGACCUUGACUUGGCUGCUGAGAACGUGACUGGAUUCCCAGGGAUUGUUGUUCCAGUAGCAAAGAAUUGGCCCGCGAAUCCAAUUGCACGCCAUUCGACUGAGCGCGAUAGCGAUCAAAGAAGUUGGAGCUAAGGAAGGGCGCCGGAGUCUCAUCUAUGUCAUUGUCGAUGAUCUCGAUGACAGCAUAUUGUUUCAAUUGCCGUCCAUUGGCCACAUAGGAUUCACCGGGAGCGAUCAGAGCUUGUUUGCCAAACGGUAUGCGAAGAGGUCCUGCCGGAGCAGCUGAUCGUACAUAGGGAGCUGGAGGAGCUGUAGGUUGGAAAAAUGUUGCUGUCGGAGCAGUUGGCUGUAGGAAUGAAACUGCUUGUGGCGGAGGUGGAGCACCAUAGACCGGCUUGUUCAGUUGCGCCGCUGUCGAACCAUGGAAACUAAUCGAGGCGAUGGGUGAAGCCACUGCAGGUGGCAAAUAAGUGCUGACUACUUGUGGUGCCGCUAUCUUUGCCGGUGGCAGGUAUUGGCUCACGAUGCUGGCCACAGUGGGUCGACUUCUUGGCAAGGGAACUCGAGCUGUGGGCAAUGGUGGCAAAGCUGGUACUGGCGGCAAUGGUUGUAUGGUGGGCAAUGGCUUAAACUGAUGCCCACCGUAGCUGCUAGAUGGGGCCGAUGGUCCCGAGGGUCUGUCAUAAUGGUAGCCCAGCAGAUCCGCCUGGAGCGAUUCAACUUGCAGCAAAGCCAACAGACUAAACACCAUCAACACGGGCAAUCUCUGAAGCGUCAUCUAGAACGCAAUCAAUCAAAAUAGCCAUAAAUGUUUAAUGAGAAAUCCAAAGACAUAAACUUAAUCGGUUGUCUAUCUAUCACUUAAAACUUUUGCGGUUACAAUGUAAUAAUCUACUCUACAUCAAGUUAAUGCCAAUGAAAUAUUCAAAAAGUU